UGAGGAAUAUUGGACAAUGGGCGCAAGCCUGAUCCAGCAAUGCCGCGUGCAGGAAGAAGGCCUUCGGGUUGUAAACUGCUUUUGUACGGAACGAAACGGUCUGCCCUAAUACGGCGGGCUAAUGACGGUACCGUAAGAAUAAGCACCGGCUAACUACGUGCCUGCAGCCGCGGUAAUACGUAGGGUGCGAGCGUUAAUCGGAAUUACUGGGCGUAAAGCGUGCGCAGGCGGUUAUAUAAGACAGAUGUGAAAUCCCCGGGCUCAACCUGGGAACUGCAUUUGUGACUGUAGAGCUAGAGUACGGCAGAGGGGGAUGGAAUUCCGCGUGUAGCAGUGAAAUGCGGAGAUAUGCGGAGGAACACCGAUGGCGAAGGCAAUCCCCUGGGCCUGUACUGACGCUCAUGCACGAAAGCGUGGGGAGCAAACA
rnacentral:rRNA from 1 species